CAUGCGGUGCCCGGCGCCCGAGCUGAUUCCAGCUCCGCGAUCUGGUAGCGGCAUGACCUAAAGAGGU
rfam:Marinobacter salinus strain Hb8 chromosome, complete genome.